rnacentral:rRNA from 1 species
GACGAACGCUGGCGGCGUGCUUUACACAUGCAAGUCGAACGGUGAACCGGUGCUUGCACCGGGAAUCAGUGGCGAACGGGUGAGUAACACGUGAGCAAUCUGCCCCGAACUCUGGGAUAACUGCGGGAAACCGCAGCUAAUACCGGAUACGACCCAAGGAGGCAUCUCCAUUGGGUGGAAAGUUUUUCGGUUCGGGAUGAGCUCGCGGCCUAUCAGCUUGUUGGUGGGGUAAUGGCCUACCAAGGCGACGACGGGUAGCCGGCCUGAGAGGGCGACCGGCCACACUGGGACUGAGACACGGCCCAGACUCCUACGGGAGGCAGCAGUGGGGAAUAUUGCACAAUGGGCGAAAGCCUGAUGCAGCGACGCCGCGUGAGGGACGAAGGCCUUCGGGUUGUAAACCUCUUUCAGCAGGGAAGAAGCGAAAGUGACGGUACCUGCAGAAGAAGCACCGGCUAACUACGUGCCAGCCGCCGCAGUAACAC